CUCUGGAGGCCGAGGCAGGAGAAUCGCUUGAACCCAGGAGGCAGAGGUUGUGUAACAGCUCAAGGGGCUCGCGUUGCCCUUUGCCUAGACAGAGCCAAUUCAUCAGGACAGGAGAAUUUGUGGAGGAAAAGUUAAAUAUUAAAUUUGAACUCAAUUGAACGUGGACACAAACAAUGGUCACCAAGUCCUAGAACAGGUUGUGUGAGCCCCUUGAGACGAUCAUCCAACUCUGUUAUGGAGAAAUCUCUAUUUCAAUCUAUUUUUAUACUUUAGUUAUUGAAAAAUGAUAGACAAUUGCAAAAAAACCAAGUUGACCUUAUUGUGUUCCUUGGGCCCAGUCGCCAAGGACCUUUGUGACUGGGCCUUAUGGUAAACAACUCAUUACAACAAGAGCUAGUGUCCCAAACACGCGGAAGCUUCAUGAGACCUCUCCUCAUCUGUGUCCGGACGGGUGGCUGAAUCUGGAGCCAAAGCUGUUGCUUCUCAGUCUGGUCGUGAAUCCUCCAUAGUUUGGUGAGUGUAAGAUCUGACUCUGGAGCCCAGGCUGUUGCUUCUCACUCUGGUGGUGAAUCCUCCAUAGUCUGGUGUGGAGGAAAAGUUAAAUAUUAAAUUUGAACUCAAUUGAAUGUGGACACAAAUAGUGGUCACCAAGUCCUGGAACAGGUUGUGUGAGCCCCUUGAGGCAUUUUUCCAGAGCUGUUUUGGAGAAAUCGCUAUUUCAAUCUAUUCCUAUACAUUAGUUGUUUAAAACAAUAGACAAUCACAAAAACAAGUUGAUUUUUUUGUUGUUGUUUCUUGAGACCAGUUGUGAAGGGCUCUGGUGACUGGGCCUCAUGCCAAACAGCUUAUUACAAAAGAGCUUGGGUACUAGACUGCGCUGAAGCUUCAUGAGACCUUUCCUGGCCCACUCUGGAGCCCAGGCUGUUGCUUCCCAGUCUGGUGGUGAAUCCUCCAUAGUCUGGCUAUUUAAACAGCAGGAAGAUCAACAGGCCAACAUUUCCACCAUAACUGCAAACUUGAAUGUGGAUUAAUGGAUUACAACUUGUUCAAGCCUUGGAAUGAGAGGCAUCAUAAUGUAUGGUGGUAUAACUGAUAGCAAUUACAGGCAAGAUAGAAAGGUCAUUUUAUAUAAUACCACUCCAGAUUCUUUUGCUAUAAAACCACAGAUGCAGGUUGUUCGAUUGUUAGUGGCACCUUGUCAACAGUUAACCCCUGAGGAAAUCUCCGCCCCAACAGAGGCUACAUACAGAACUGGGAGAUGAGAUCCACUGGUACAGGGAGUAACCUAUCUACUAAUUAUCAGCACCUGGGUCUUUGUAUCUGAGGCCAAGAAAAAAUUCAUCAGCUGGGUAGCCACCGCUGCAACAGAAGCCAAAUGCUGUCAAUGUUGGCUAUAUGUUGAGUUGCCGGAGACCACUUGGAAUGGGCUACCUUGGAGAAUCAUCCCUGACAACAUUUCUGCAAGGCUAUGUCGUUACCAGUGGGGCCACAACAACAACACUUGCAAUCCAACCUGGACUUCCUUUGACCACACUAAGCAAUCCAUGUUUGCCAAGUCAGAAAAAGAUGAACUCUACCCUCAUGUUGCAUCAAAAGCCUUGGUAUUCUGCCCAAUAUGCCUGGAAUGGAAUAUAUUGAGAACCUACUGUGCUGGUGGCCAGAUUUGAUAUAGCAUCCCCUUUGUCUGGAGGCCUUAAAUGGAGUUUUUCCAGACAAUUGUCAACACACACUCCAAAUCGACAACAUCGCACCCAAUGAAACACAAUCUCUUUCUUACUUUAAUAACACAUUAGUACACUAUGAUUACAGUAGCUCCAUUGCUGUCCCCUGAGGGGGCUCUUGGUAUGCAGAUCCUAUGGGUGAUGGUACCUGUCCCUGCAUUGAAUGGGGGGAUGCACUUGGGGGUGGCCAUUAAUUCCAUUCACCAUCGGGGAUAAUAUUCCCCUCCCCAGUAAUCUAGAUGCUUACAAACAUCACUAGUUAUGAAUGUGCUGGCCUCCCUGGUGGUGGUAUUUUAUAACAGUAUUUUCCCUUGCUGCUGGUACAAUCCUGCUUCAGCAACAAAUUAAAACAUUAACCUUACAUACAGAAAAAUCUCUUAAUAAUAGUAGCAUUGAACUUACGUUUUUAUCAGAUGAAUUUGCUCAGCUGCGUACUUUUGUGUUGCAAAAUCAAAUGGCAUUAGAGAUGCUUACCGCAGCCCAAGGAGGGGUUUGCGCCUUGCUGCAUACUAAAUGUGGUGUGUAUAUUCCUGGUAAUUCUCACAAUGUUACACUCCUUGCAAAGCCAUGUCAAAUUUGGUUUUUAUUCAUUGCACUUUUAAUUCUCCUGUGCUUACCCUGUAUCUGUAAUCUCUUUCAACUUUGCCUUCCCCAUAUAUCUGUAAGAGUAUUUUCCUACAGUUGAGUAUCCAAAUGUGGUCAAAUGUGGAGGAAAAGUUACAUGUUAAAUUUGAAAUCAGUUGAACAUGGACACAAACAAUGGCCACCAAGUCCCAGCACAGGUUGUGUGAGCCCCUUGAGACAAUCAUUCAGCACUGUUUCAGAGAAACCUCUAUUUCAAUCUAUUCCUAUACAUUAGUUAUUAAAAAAAAUAGACAACCACACAAAAACAGCUUGACCUUUUUGUGUUGCUUGAGCCCAGUCGCGAAGGGCCCUCAUGACCGGGCCUCAUGCCAAACAACUUGUUACAAAAAGAGCUAGGGUCCCAGACCGCGCCAAAGCUUCAGGAAACCUCUCCUCAUCUGUGCACGGAUGGGUGGCUGACUCUGGAGCCCAGGCUGUGGCUUCCUGGUGUAGUGGUGAAGCCUCCAUAGUCUGAUGAGUGUAAUGUCUGACUCUGGAGCCCAGGCUGUUGCUCCCCCAUCUGGUGAUGAAUCCUCCAUAGUCUGGUGAAUGUAAACAUAUUUAUCUCUUUUCCCUUCUCCCCUUCCCAUUGCAAUUUGCUUAUUAUAUCAAUUUGCUUACUAUAUCUGCAUUGCCAUUUACGUGGAAUAAAAUUUGUUUACCCUUAAA